rnacentral:rRNA from 1 species
AUACGUAGGGGGCUAGCGUUAUCCGGAAUUACUGGGCGUAAAGGGUGCGUAGGUGGUUUCUUAAGUCAGAAGUGAAAGGCUACGGCUCAACCGUAGUAAGCUUUUGAAACUAAGAGACUUGAGUGCAGGAGAGGAGAGUAGAAUUCCUAGUGUAGCGGUGAAAUGCGUAGAUAUUAGGAGGAAUACCAGUUGCGAAGGCGGCUCUCUGGACUAUAACUGACACUGAGACACGAAAGCGUGGGGAGCAAACAGGAUCAGAUACCCUGGUAGUCCACGCCGUAAACGAUGAGUACUAGCUGUCGGGGGUUACCCCCCUCGGUGGCGCAGCUAACGCAUUAAGUACUCCGCCUGGGAAGUACGCUCGCAAGAGUGAAACUCAAAUGAAUUGACGGGG